GGAAAGACCCCGUGCACCUUUACUGCAGCUUUAGAGUGGCAUUAGGAAAGAAUUGUGUAGAAUAGGUGGGAGGCUUUGAAACUUGGGCGCCAGUCCGAGUGGAGCCAACCUGUGAAAUACCACCCUGUUGUUUUCUGAUGUCUAACCUAGAUCCGUAAUCCGGAUCAGGGACCCUCUAUGGCGGGUAGUUUGACUGGGGCGGGCGCCUCCUAAAGAGUAAAGGG
rnacentral:rRNA from 1 species